ACAGUAUUAGCAAACAGGAAGUAGAGUAGUUUACGUACGGAUUGUUGGAGUGUGCAAUGGCGGCCUACGAGCAGGUCCAGAAGGGGCCUCUGAAACUGAAAGGCGUCGCAGAGCUCGGCGUGACCAAGCGGAAAAAGAAAAAGGACAAAGACAAGGCGAAACUUUUGGAAGCGAUGGGAACGAGCAAAAAGAACGAGGAGGAGAAGCGGCGGGGCCUGGACAAGCGGACCCCGGCCCAGGCGGCUUUCGAGAAGAUGCAGGAGAAGCGGCAAAUGGAGAGGAUCCUGAAGAAGGCAUCUAAAACCCACAAGCAGAGAGUGGAGUGUAAAUCCGAUGCACGUGCUGGUGGUGCAUCAAAGAAAAGGAAAACGAUCACGAUCGAAAACAAAGUGGAAAUAAUAAAGCGCUCGGAAAGGGGAGAGACGCCGUCGGUCAUUGGAAAAGCGUUCGGCUACAGCCGGUCAACGGUUGGAACAAUUUUAAAGGAUAAAGUGAGAAUAAUGGAGCACGUGAAAGGCUGUGCCCCGAUGAAAGCUACAAUUAUAACUAAGCAACGCAGUGGUUUACUUAUCGAAAUGGAAAGGCUGUUGAUAAUUUGGUUAGACGAUCAAAAUCAGCGUAAUAUGCCUAUCAGCCUUACUUCAGUGCAACAAAAGGCUCGAAGCCUUUUCAAUGAUUUAAAAGCUGCACGUGCAGCAAGCGGAGGUGCUUGCGAUGAAGAAUUCGUUGCAAGCAGGGGUUGGUUCAAUCGUUUCAAAGGGAGGGCAAAUUUACUUAACAUUAAAGUGCGAGGUGAAGCAGCGAGUGCCAGUGUAAGUGCUGCAAGGGAUUUUCCUGAAAUGGUGAAAAAUGACGUGGAGUUACUCGCCUCCCGUGCUGAAGAACCAGCCGGUGAAGACCUUCUGGAACUAGAGCAGCCAAUGAUAGCAUCUGAGGAAGAGGACCGGGACCUAAAAACUCCAGUACCAAAAAAGUUUUCGACAAGAGAGUUAGCUGAAGCCUUUCAUCUCAUUGAAGCAGGGAUGGCAAAGUUAAAGGAGCAAGAUCCGAAUACAGAGAGGUUUAGCAAAGUUUACCAUACAGUUACUGAGGGCCUCAGCUGCUACAAGGCCAUCUAUGACGAGGGGAAAAAAGCUCUGUGCAAACCUCCCUGAUGCCUGUUUCAGGAAAUUGACUCCAGCAGUAAACUGCCCUCUCCAGCAGCAGAAUCAGACCCUGACUCUCCGGCCCCAGGUCCAUUCUCUCCAACAGCAGGCCCAUCAUCUUCAACAGUAGCCAUCUUUCCAUCAUCCUCUCCCGCAUCAUCCGGUGUUAACAUUAUAAUGUUGCCUCACGAAUGUCCCUUCCGGUAUGCAAGACACUGAUGGAACAAGAUGCUGUAUACCUACACACACAGAUUCUCUCUUCAGUACAGUAUUGACUUCAACAGACACCUGGACACACUCACAGAACAUUAUGACAUCCCCAAAGUCAGCUGGACCAAGUAGCCUCCUGGCCCCUGGGCAUGGCGUGGCCUCAUGGGGAAGCAGAAGACAGAGUUGGGGUUAAGUCGGGUCCCUUUGGCAUUUUCUAGAAACAUUCUUUUACCCAUGCCUUUGCAUUUUCUGCUGCAACCGUGCAUUUUGAAACUGUCUCCUUGUUCUAGAACUUGAUUAAAGUAAGACUGUCCUUUGACUCAA